rnacentral:rRNA from 1 species
UCCGUAGGUGAACCUGCGGAAGGAUCAUUAUCGAGUCUUGAAACGGGUUGCAGCUGGCCCUUUACCGGGCAUGUGCUCGCCCUUUCAAAUCCACUCUACACCUGUGCACUUACUGUGAGUUUCGGUCUUUGUGGGGUCCUUGUUUUGUUAACUUUGGCCUUAUGAAAGCCGGAGCUUACGUUUUCUUACAAACUCUUUUAGUAUUGGAAUGUGUAUCGCGAUGUUAAACGCAUCUUAUACAACUUUCAGCAACGGAUCUCUUGGCUCUCGCAUCGAUGAAGAACGCAGCGAAAUGCGAUAAGUAAUGUGAAUUGCAGAAUUCAGUGAAUCAUCGAAUCUUUGAACGCACCUUGCGCUCCUUGGUAUUCCGAGGAGCACACCUGUUUGAGUGUCAUGAAAUUCUCUCAACCCACGAAGCUUUGUUGUUUUCGUCAGGUUUGGACUUGGAGGCUUUUUGCUGGCUGUUGUUGGGGGUCAGCUCCUCUCAAAUGCAUUAAGCUUGGUUCCUUGCGGAUCGGCUCUCGGUGUGAUAAUUGUCUACGCCGUGGCUGUGAAGUGUUUGGCAAGCUUAUAAUCGUCUUGUUAAGAGACAGCUUAUAUUUUUGACCUCUUGACCUCAAAUCAGGUGGGACUACCCGCUGAACUUAAGCAUAUCAAUAAGCG